AUACGAACCGUACGAACGUUAUUCGGAAUCACUGGGCUUAAAGAGUGCGUAGGCGGCUUGGAAAGUUGGGUGUGAAAUCCCUCGGCUCAACCGAGGAAUAGCGCCCAAAACUGUCAAGUUUGAGGGAGAUAGAGGUAAGCGGAACUAAUGGUGGAGCGGUGAAAUGCGUUGAUAUCAUUAGGAACACCUGAGGCGAAAGCAGCUUACUGGGUCUCUUCUGACGCUGAGGCACGAAAGCUAGGGGAGCGAACGGGAUUAGAAACCCCGGUAGUCC
rnacentral:rRNA from 1 species